rnacentral:tRNA from 1 species
AAUCUAAUAGUUUUUAAACAUUAAAUUGCAAAUUUAAAAAUAAGUAAUUAAGUUA